rnacentral:rRNA from 8 species
GGGACGAGCCCAGCACCGAAUCCCCCGGCAUGCAGCCGGCGGGAAAUGUGGUGUGUGGGACGCCAACUGUCGUCCGCGCUGGAGACCGAAGUCCUCCUGAUCGGGGCCUCUCCCACAGCGGGUGUCAGGCCUUUACUGGUCUCUGGCCGGGCGGCUGCGAGCGUCUCAGGAGUCGGGUUGUUUGGGAAUGCAGCCCAAAGCGGGUGGUAAACUCCAUCUAAG